rnacentral:rRNA from 1 species
UACGUAGGCAGCGAGCGUUGUUCGGAGUUACUGGGCGUAAAGGGUGUGUAGGCGGUCCUUUAAGUUUGGUGUGAAAUCUCCCGGCUCAACUGGGAGGGUGCGCCGGAUACUGAGGGGCUAGAGUGCGGGAGAGGAGAGUGGAAUUCCUGGUGUAGCGGUGAAAUGCGUAGAUAUCAGGAGGAACACCGGUGGUGUAGACGGCUUUCUGGACCAUAACUGACGCUGAGACACGAAAGCGUGGGUAGCAAACAGG